UUCUUAUACAUUGUUGUACCUAUCUUUUACUGGAGUAAUACUUAUGAUGCACAGAAGUUUCCGUUCUAUACUUCGUAAACCUUUGAUCAUGCUGGACAUACCGAGAAGGACUUUGAUAUCAAUCUAGAUGCUUACAACGGUUACAGCAAGCUCUAUUUGAGUUUGAUGUUUGCUUUGCUCUAUGGACUUAGCUUUGCUUCUUUUUUUGCUACCAUCUCUCAUGUGACCCUCUAUGAUGGAAUGUUUAUAUGGGGAAUGUGGAAAAAGGCAACGACAGCAACAAAAGACAAUUUCGGAGAUGUGCAUUCAAGAUUGAUGAAGAAGAACUAUCUAUCAAGCGGUACCUCUGACCCAGAUCAGAGGUUUCUUCUAACUUUUAAUGCCUCAGCUUCCUAAUCUCUCGCAUUUUCUCUCGCUCUUCUUCUCCUGCCAUCAGCUGCUCUUCCUUUUCAUCCUCCUCUCUCCAUAUUAGUGCUGAUUGAGUUUACCAUCUCUGGCAAGUGGCAACCAUGCAACAACGUAUAUGCCGAAAUUAUGUUUUGGCUUUCUAGGCGAAGAAUAUUUCCUUCUGGAGUUUGGUCUGAGAGGGAACAUUAUGGAAAGUAUGUCCUCAACUCCUCGAAUGAUAAUUUGAUGAUGUAUAGAAGCAAUACAACAUAUAACGUACGGUAUACUUGAAGACUAAUAUUCUGGAGAAGAUAUCAUUUGUAAUGGUUAACUUUUGCAGCAUUUUUAAUAUAAUUUGUGAAAAUCUAGCUGUUAUCGAACUUGAACAAAUAUUUGGAAUAAAAUGUGGUGAUUCAUCUUA